rnacentral:rRNA from 1 species
AGUCUGAAUAGGGCGUUUAGUAUGUGGUUGUAGACCCGAAACCAGGUGAUCUACCCAUGUCCAGGGUGAAGUUCAGGUAACACUGAAUGGAGGCCCGAACCCACGCACGUUGAAAAGUGCGGGGAUGAGGUGUGGGUAGCGGAGAAAUUCCAAUCGAACCUGGAGAUAGCUGGUUCUCCCCGAAAUAGCUUUAGGGCUAGCCUUAAGUGUAAGAGUCUUGGAGGUAGAGCACUGAUUGGACUAGGGGUCCUCAUCGGAUUACCGAAUUCAGUCAAACUCCGAAUGCCAAUGACUUAUCCUUAGGAGUCAGACUGCGAGUGAUAAGAUCCGUAGUCAAAAGGGAAACAGCCCAGACCGCCAGCUAAGGUCCCAAAGUGUGUAUUAAGUGGAAAAGGAUGUGGAGUUGCUUAGACAACUAGGAUGUUGGCUUAGAAGCAGCCACCAUUUAAAGAGUGCGUAAUAGCUCACUAGUCGAGUGACUCUGCGCCGAAAAUGUACCGGGGCUAAAUACACCACCGAAGCUGCGAAUUGAUACCAAUGGUAUCAGUGGUAGGGGAGCGUUCUAAGUGCAGUGAAGUCAGACCGGAAGGACUGGUGGAGCGCUUAGAAGUGAGAAUGCCGGUAUGAGUAGCGAAAGACAAGUGAGAAUCUUGUCCACCGAAUGCCUAAGGUUUCCUGAGGAAGGCUCGUCCGCUCAGGGUUAGUCGGGACCUAAGCCGAGGCCGAAAGGCGUAGGCGAUGGACAACAGGUUGAUAUUCCUGUACCACCUCUUUAUCGUUUGAGCAAUGGAGGGACGCAGAAGGAUAGAAGAAGCGUGCGAUUGGUUGUGCACGUCCAAGCAGUUAGGCUGAUAAGUAGGCAAAUCCGCUUAUCGUGAAGGCUGAGCUGUGAUGGGGAAGCUCCUUAUGGAGCGAAGUCUUUGAUUCCCCGCUGCCAAGAAAAGCUUCUAGCGAGAUAAAAGGUGCCUGUACCGCAAACCGACACAGGUAGGCGAGGAGAGAAUCCUAAGGUGAUCGAGAGAACUCUCGUUAAGGAACUCGGCAAAAUGACCCCGUAACUUCGGGAGAAGGGGUGCUCUGUUAGGGUGCAAGCCCGAGAGAGCCGCAGUGAAUAGGCCCAGGCGACUGUUUAGCAAAAACACAGGUCUCUGCGAAGCCGUAAGGCGAAGUAUAGGGGCUGACGCCUGCCCGGUGCUGGAAGGUUAAGAGGAGCGCUUAGCGUAAGCGAAGGUGCGAAUUGAAGCCCCAGUAAACGGCGGCCGUAACUAUAACGGUCCUAAGGUAGCGAAAUUCCUUGUCGGGUAAGUUCCGACCCGCACGAAAGGCGCAACGAUCUGGGCACUGUCUCAACGAGAGACUCGGUGAAAUUAUAGUACCUGUGAAGAUGCAGGUUACCCGCGACAGGACGGAAAGACCCCGUGGAGCUUUACUGUAGCCUGAUAUUGAAUUUUGGUACAGCUUGUACAGGAUAGGUAGGAGCCUGAGAAGCCGGAGCGCCAGCUUCGGUGGAGGCGUCGGUGGGAUACUACCCUGGCUGUAUUGAAAUUCUAACCCACAGCCCUGAUCGGGCUGGGAGACAGUGUCAGGUGGGCAGUUUGACUGGGGCGGUCGCCUCCUAAAGUGUAACGGAGGCGCCCAAAGGUUCCCUCAGAAUGGUUGGAAAUCAUUCGUAGAGUGCAAAGGCAUAAGGGAGCUUGACUGCGAGACCUACAAGUCGAGCAGGGACGAAAGUCGGGCUUAGUGAUCCGGUGGUUCCGCAUGGAAGGGCCAUCGCUCAACGGAUAAAAGCUACCCCGGGGAUAACAGGCUUAUCUCCCCCAAGAGUCCACAUCGACGGGGAGGUUUGGCACCUCGAUGUCGGCUCAUCGCAUCCUGGGGCUGUAGUCGGUCCCAAGGGUUGGGCUGUUCGCCCAUUAAAGCGGUACGCGAGCUGGGUUCAGAACGUCGUGAGACAGUUCGGUCCCUAUCCGUCGUGGGCGUAGGAAAUUUGAGAGGAGCUGUCCUUAGUACGAGAGGACCGGGAUGGACGCACCGCUGGUGUACCAGUUGUUCUGCCAAGGGCAUAGCUGGGUAGCUAUGUGCGGAAGGGAUAAGUGCUGAAAGCAUCUAAGCAUGAAGCCCCCCUCAAGAUGAGAUUUCCCAUAGCGUAAGCUAGU